UAGGGAAUAUUAGUAAUGGGCGAAAGCCUGAACUAGCAACGCCGCGUGUGCGAAGAAGGCCUUCGGGUUGUAAAGCACUUUUUGAGAGGAUGAGGAAGGACGGUACUCUCAGAAUAAGUCUCGGCUAACUACGUGCCAGCAGCCGCGGUAACACGUAGGAGGCAAACGUUAUCCGGAUUUACUGGGCGUAAAGCGCGUGUAGGUGGUUUGGUAAGUAGGGCGUGAAAGCUCCCGGCUCAACUGGGAGAGGCCGUUCUAAACUGCCAAGCUAGAGGAUGGCAGAGGGAGGUGGAAUUCCGGGUGUAGCGGUGGAAUGCGCAGAUAUCCGGAGGAACACCAGUGGCGAAGGCGGCCUCCUGGGCCACUCCUGACACUCAGACGCGAAAGCUAGGGUAGCAAACGG
rnacentral:rRNA from 1 species